rnacentral:lncRNA from 1 species
GGCUGCAGCCGGUGCCCCCCCGGGGGCGGCCCCCUGGGAGGCAGGGGAGCGGGCGGGGAGCGGGCGGCCCGUCGGGCACGGCACGGCGAGGCACGGAGCGCGGGGCCCCCGGGCGGAGCUGCCCGGGUUGGGGCCGUGGCAGGCGUUGUUUUCCUCGGAGAGCAGAGGAGGAGGAGGAGGAGGAGGAGGAAAUCUCCGGGUUUUUAAUGAGGGGGUGCAGCGGGGCUGAGCGCUGGGAUUACACGGCGCGGAGCCGGAGCUGCGGGCUGUGUGUGUGCGCGCAGGGCUGGCCGUCCCCGCCUGUCUGCCUGCUAAUCGCACGUUUUCCGCUGUUAAAAAGAAACCGAGACGCUGUGGCCGAGCCCAGCGCUGUCUCUGUGACUGUGACAUGAAAAGAUGGCGCUCUCUCCCCUCCCCCAGCCUCCCUCUCGGCUUACACUUCCUCCCCAACAGCUUUUGCCUUCCAGUUUUUUAAAGCCCUCUUUUCUCCUUUCCUUCCCCCCCCCCACCUCCUCCGGCCGGAUACCGCGAGCUUCCCAGCCGAUCGCAACGAGAGACCGAGAGGAAACACGCUGCUGCUGUGCAAAAUGUGGACCAUGUGUGGGAACUAUUUACUCAGAGUGCAACUGCAGGCACCAGGCGAGGGGCUGGCAGAGCCGGGGGGCGGCGGAGAGAGAGGCUACAUCUCUCUCGCCUUUUUUCCUCUCCCCUAAAGCCAAACCACGUCGCUGCGUCUGUAACGGUGCGUUUUACCGACUUUCUCGCUGGGCACAUGUUUUUUUUAUAAGUCCAAGGCUUUUGCGAUUCGCUUUUGUGUUUGCCCACCUCAAGCCUCUGCGGGCAAAGGGUUAAAUCUUCGGAGCAGUGGAAGGAAGCAGCUGAGUUUCAACAACAACAAAAAAAAAAAAGGUGGGGGGAGAAGAAAGGAGCGGGAGCAGGGAAGAAGCGAGGCGAGAGGGCUGCACGGUCCCCUGAUUGUCCCUUUGGCUGCUGUAGAAUAAUAAAAAUAAUUAAUAACAAUAGUAACCCCCA